GCCAGACAUUUUGGACCUGCUUAUCGAGUAGCUGUUCAACAUGAAGAUCCUACCGGGGGACCGGGGGCGGCAUAGAUAUUCUGGUUUGAUGCCACAGACAUAGGUGAAAAAACUGCAGCCUUCCAGAUGUUGGACUACAACUCCUAGAGAAUGUAAACACCAUGGGCAACAGUGAUGAAUUCUGAACGUUUCUACCUGCAACCUCUAGAAGGGGUGGAGGGAAGGGAGAGAUCAUCCUUCCAAAGGCUACUUGUUGGCUGCAUUAAGGAAGAAGGAAGCCUCCAUUUAAUCAGUUUUGCCCUCAUUACUACCGUCAGUGAAAAUUAUUAUAGUUGGCUGCAGGGUCCAGGCAGAUAAUUUGUCCAACCAAGAAAAGAAAUUAAACACAAGGAAAAAAAGAAAAGAAAUACCAGAACUGUUUGAUUUGAUGACAAGGUAAUUAUACCAAAAGUUUUCUAACGACAUUGUCUAAAAUUACAGAAAUAUUAAUAAACCACAAAACUGAACAAAACCAAGGAUGUGCACACACUAAAAAGGUCAGGAUUUGCAUAAUCUUCUCAAUCUGUGAAGUAAAACUGUAUACUUGUUGCUCUUUUUUCCUUUUUGCAAGAUGCUGUGAUUUUAUUAUGAACUUUCAUUUUUUUAAAAAUAAAAUGCUCUCCAUCUGC